rnacentral:rRNA from 1 species
UACGUAGGGUGCAAGCGUUGUCCGGAAUUAUUGGGCGUAAAGAGCUCGUAGGCGGUUUGUCGCGUCGGCCGUGAAAACUUGGGGCUUAACUCCAAGCUUGCGGUCGAUACGGGCAGACUUGAGUUCGGCAGGGGAGACUGGAAUUCCUGGUGUAGCGGUGGAAUGCGCAGAUAUCAGGAGGAACACCAACGGCGAAGGCAGCUCGCUGGGACGGUACUGACACUGAGGCGCGAAAGCGUGGGGAGCGAACAGG